rnacentral:rRNA from 1 species
CCUACGGGUGGCAGCAGUGGGGAAUAUUGCACAAUGGGGGAAACCCUGAUGCAGCGACGCCGCGUGAGUGAAGAAGUAUCUCGGUAUGUAAAGCUCUAUCAGCAGGGAAGAAAAUGACGGUACCUGAUCAAGAAGCUCCGGCUAACUACGUGCCAGCAGCCGCGGUACUACGUAGGGGGCCAGCGUUAUCCGGAUUUACUGGGUGUAAAGGGAGCGUAGACGGCAGCACAAGUCUGGAGUGAAAUGCCGGGGCUUAACCCCGGAACUGCUUUGGAAACUGUGCAGCUAGAGUGCAGGAGAGGUAAGUGGAAUUCCUGGGGUAGCGGUGAAAUGCGUAGAUAUUAGGAGGAACACCAGUGGCGAAGGCGGCUUACUGGACUGUAACUGACGUUGAGGCUCGAAAGCGUGGGGAGCAAACAGGAUUAGAUACCCGGGUAGUC